rnacentral:rRNA from 1 species
UACGAAGGGGGCUAGCGUUGCUCGGAAUUACUGGGCGUAAAGGGCGCGUAGGCGGACAGUUUAGUCAGAGGUGAAAGCCCAGGGCUCAACCUUGGAAUAGCCUUUGAUACUGGCUGUCUUGAGUUCGGGAGAGGUGAGUGGAAUGCCGAGUGUAGAGGUGAAAUUCGUAGAUAUUCGGCGGAACACCAGUGGCGAAGGCGACUCGCUGGCCCGAUACUGACGCUGAGGCGCGAAAGCGUGGGGAGCAAACAGA